rnacentral:tRNA from 1 species
UCCUGUGUGGCUCAGUUGGUAGAGCAUGGUGUUUGCAACACCAGGCUUGUGUUUUCAAUUCCCACGGGGG